GCUGAUGGAUAGCUGAGUUGGUUAGAACGUGGUGCUGAUAAUGCCAAGGUUGUAGGUUCAAUCCAACUGCAUAUUCCUGCA